CACGCCCUAAACUAUGGAUGCUAGCUGUUGGUCGUAUCGACCCGAUCAGUAGCGAAGCUAACGCGUUAAGCAUCCCGCCUGUGGAGUACGGUCGCAAGACUAAAACAUAAAGGAAUUGAC
rnacentral:rRNA from 1 species